UACGAAGGGUGCAAACGUUGCUCGGAAUUACUGGGCGUAAAGGGAGCGUAGGCGGUUUAACAAGUUGGGUGUGAAAGCCCAGGGCUCAACCCUGGAACUGCACCCAAGACUGUUUCACUUGAAUUCGGUAGAGGUUGGUGGAAUUCCCAGUGUAGAGGUGAAAUUCGUAGAGAUUGGGAAGAAUAUCCGUGGCGAAGGCGGCCAACUGGACCGACAUUGACGCUGAGGCUCGAAAGCGUGGGGAGCAAACAGG
rnacentral:rRNA from 1 species